UUUAAGUCUGUAGCCAAGUUACCUGGUUGACGUAGUAGGACUUCUGCAUACCACAACGAUUGAACUCCCCAGAAGGACAUGAUAGAAAUGCAAAUGUAUCAGUCAGCAGGUCAGAGUGUUAAGUUAGAGCUCUAAAUAUGACAAAAAAGAAAGACUUGAAAUGGAAGAAAAUCAGCUAAAAGUCAUAAUUUUAGGCUUAUUAAGUCAUAAAAAAUCACUUGUUUAAUUUUCCAUCUUAUCUCAGCAGCCCAUAAUGAAAAGAUGACAGAUCAAGGGACUCUUAGAGUCUCUUAGCAACGAUGAUAUGAACUGGAAGAACAGAAGAAGAGAGAGAGAGACGGAGAUGACGGCCUUCUCUGCACAGAUAAGAUGCUAUUCUCCCUUCCUGCAAAAUUAGUUCAUUAUAGGAGUGAGAGAGAGUCGUCGCUGAGAUUCAAGGUUUCUCUGCGAUAAAGAGCGGGAGCAACACCUUGCAGAGAAGAAAAAAAAGAAGAAAAUUUUCAUUUCCUGUUCUUCAGAGGAAGCAGCCGUAUCAGCGGAUCAGCAGCAGAGACUCAGGGUUAGGGAGGAAGAAAUGAAGAGACCCAGAGAGGAGCGGGACGCAGCCAGUUAAAGAGUACGACACCACAUCUGUGACGAGCCGUAAUUCACUGGCGUGAGCUGACGAUCGUCCCUUCAUACAAUACUAUGACUGUGUCCGCUCUUCAACACCAGACUGUCGGCUGUAGCUGCUGAUUACUGAUUUCAGCUGCAGGAUUAAUCAGUGAUGACAAGGAGGCAGCGUGUUGUACAGCACAGUAAAUACACACGGACACACAAUCGGACUACACACUGCUACAACAAUUGAUCAGGACGGGUCUUAAUACGGACUGAACAUGGUUUGGACCUCAGUCUGAAUCAGGCUCUGAGGUAUUUCUUAACAAAUCUGACCCAGUCCUGAUCACUCUCAAGUAAAGUCACAGUACUGCUGCUAGAAGACAGUUUCCUGCUUUAAUGAUACGACAGGAAGUAGCUGCUAUUUCAUCCUAUAGUCACCAAAGGUGGAUGUUGUUGUUUUCGCAUAUGUCUACAAAUAUAUAUGUUUUAGAAAAUAUUGAUAUGUUGAUAUAUCAGGAUCUUUCAUUUCAAGAUACCGUAUUAAUAUCCUACAGUACUGUACCGAUCUUUCGAUUUGUAUCUGUAUCAAUCUGUACUGUAUUGAUCGAACAGUCAAAUAUUCAUGGCGUUGGAGCCUGUUUUAGUCCUGCCAUACCCAUCUGUCACUCUGACGACACUCUUCAACAGUCUUAGCCUUCUUUGCUGCAUACAAGCCCUGCACCACCCUCACAUAUUUCAGCCACUCCUAGCUUUAUCACACAGUAAAAAUCAUUUUUAUUUUAUCUAAUGUAAAUGUGCAAUUAAUGGAUUGAAACCAAAACAUUUCAUUGAGAUUUUUUUUAAAUUUUAUUUCCAUAUAUCUUUUCUAUUCCAUAAUAUUUCCAUAUAUAUUCAUUUCUUUAUACUAUACAGGUGUCUCAAUACAGUCUUUAUUGACAUACAUAUAUUUUUUAUGAGCUUAAGAGAUGGGAGGGACAGAGAGACAAGGAGGUUAACUACAAUUUAUAAACUGUUUACAAGACAACAGGAGCUCCAUCACAUUACAGACACACACACACGUCUCUCACACGCACACACACAAGAGAAACUUCACUCACACAUCUGAACAUACACACACACACACACAGGAAGUGAUCACACACUCACACAUCAGUGGCAGGAGUAGACAGGUCUUCACAGGAUAGAUAACAUCAAUACCAGACACACAUCACAUGUAGUUGUACAGUACUCGCCAUAUUUAACUCCUGCUUCCACAGAUGCACGCACACACACACACACACACACACACACACACACACAACACAGUUUUUUGGUAAAAC